CAGUUCAAGAUGGCGAAGGCUCCAACUAGGGAAGCUAGCACUUGCAGUUUACCAAAGAGUUCCUCCUUGAAUAUGCUCUUACUCCUCCUCCAGCUCCUCGCCAUCACCACCCUCCCUUGCUCUGCCAACAACGCCACCCAACUAGUCUAUGACACGGAGGGCAACGUGCUAAGUAGCAAGCAAAAUUACUACAUCCUCCCUGCUAAACGUGCGACCGGCGGGGGCCUCAGAGCUUUGCCUACUGGCCUGAGGUGUCUGCACUUCGUGUUCCAGGAGCGCAACGGGGCUGUCCUCGGCACCGCCCUGCGGUUCACGCCACUACCAGAACACGCUUCAGCCAGCGAGCCGAUUCGCUUGUCGAGGGACAUCUGGAUCGAGUUCCAUGAUUUUGAUAGUUUUUGCUCUGAAAGGCUAGAUUGGCACCUUACCGAUCAGGUACCGGAGUCGUCAUCAGGAGAGCCUAAACACGUGGCCGCCGGCAGUGAAGAGGGCCUAAGAUCGUUUGCGGUGUUCCGGGUUGAGAGGCAUGGCACAGGUCUCUCGGGAUAUAAGAUAGUUUCAUGUGUUGACAAGGGGCCAUGCAAAGAUGUAGGUUUGCAUGCUACUAAGAACAAGACGUGGCUGACCGUGAGCAAUAAGCCUUUUAUGGUUGUCUUUAGGAAAGAGAGGUUAUAG
rnacentral:rRNA from 1 species